rnacentral:rRNA from 1 species
CGCGUAGGCGGUCUCAGAAGUUUUGGGUGAAAGCCCCCGGCUCAACCGGGGAAGUGCCUGGAAAACCAUGGGACUAGAGUGCUGGAGAGGCAAGCGGAAUUUCUGGUGUAGCGGUGAAAUGCGUAGAUAUCAGAAGGAACAUCUGAGGCGAAGGCGGCUUGCUGGACAGACACUGACGCUGAGGCGCGAAAGCUAGGGGAGCAAACG